rnacentral:rRNA from 1 species
UCGCACGGGGUCGCAAGAUCCAGUGGCGAACGGGUGAGUAAUGAAUCGCUAAUGUACCCUGGGCUCUGGGAUAGCCAUCCGAAAGGGUGGGUAAUACCAGAUGAAAUAACCUUCCUGCAUGGGAGGGUUCUCAAAGGUCCAACAGCAAUGUUGGGCGGUCUGGGAGCAGGCGAUUUCGUAUCAGCUUGUUGGUGAGGUAACGGCUCACCAAGGCGACGACGCGUAGCCGGACUGAGAGGUUGGCCGGCCACAUUGGGACUGAGACACUGCCCAGACUCCUACGGGGGGCUGCAGUAACGAAUCUUCCGCAAUGUACGCAAGUAUGACGGAGCGACGCCGCGUGUGGGACGAAGCCCUUCGGGGUGUAAACCACUGUCAGGGGACAGAAAGUUCUGAUCGUCCCCAGAGGAAGGCACGGCUAACUCUGUGCCAGCAGCCGCGGUAAGACAGAGGUGCCAAGCGUUAGGCGGAAUCACUGGGCUUAAAGCGUGUGUAGGCGGGUGCCUAAGUACCUUGUGAAAUCCCACGGCUCAACCGUGGAACUGCUGGGUAUACUGGGUGUCUUGAGCCAACUAGGGGCUGCCGGAACAAAUGGUGGAGCGGUGAAAUGCGUAGAUAUCAUUUGGAACGCCAAUGGUGAAAACAGGCAGCUGGGGUUGUGCUGACGCUGAGACACGAAAGCCAGGGGAGCGAACGGGAUUAGAUACCCCGGUAGUCCUGGCCCUAAACGAUGUCCACUAGAUCGUAGUCGCUCUGACGUGAUUAUGGUCGAAGCCCAAGUGCUAAGUGGACCG